AAGACUAUACUAUCAGGGAUCAUUUCUAGAGUUUCUGACUGGAGGACUGUGGUUCUAAAGUGUUUGGUCUCACUUACCACAAUGAUAAAUUGCAAUGUUCCUUUCUGAGCGUGAAGCUGAAAGAGAGUAAUGAUUCACUUCAUGUGUUCUCUAUAAUUGUUCUUUGUUUCUUAAUGAAGCAUUGAGAAAGGGAAUGUGAUUACAGUGGU